GAGUUUGAUCCUGGCUCAGAAUGAACGCUGGCGGCAGGCCUAACACAUGCAAGUCGAACGGAGUUAUAUUGUAGCUUGCUAUGGUAUAACUUAGUGGCAGACGGGUGAGUAAUGUAUAGGAAUCUACCUAGUAGUACGGAAUAAUUGUUGGAAACGGCAACUAAUACCGUAUACGCCCUACGGGGGAAAAAUUUAUUGCUAUUAGAUGAGCCUAUAUUAGAUUAGUUAGUUGGUGAGGUAAAGGCUUACCAAGACAAUGAUCUAUAGCUGAUCUGAGAGGAUGAUCAGCCACACUGGAACUGAGAUACGGUCCAGACUCCUACGGGAGGCAGCAGUGGGGAAUAUUGGACAAUGGGCGAAAGCCUGAUCCAGCCAUGCCGCAUGAGUGAAGAAGGCCUUCGGGUUGUAAAGCUCUUUUAGUGAGGAAGAUAAUGACGGUACUCACAGAAGAAGUCCUGGCUAACUCCGUGCCAGCAGCCGCGGUAAUACGGAGAGGGCUAGCGUUAUUCGGAAUCAUUGGGCGUAAAGGGCGCGUAGGCGGGUUAGUAAGUUAAAAGUGAAAUCCCAAGGCUCAACCUUGGAACUGCUUUUAAAACUGCUAGUCUAGAGAUUGAAAGAGGAUAGAGGAAUUCCUAGUGUAGAGAUGAAAUUCGUAAAUAUUAGGAGGAACACCAGUGGCGAACGCGUCUAUCUGGGUUCAAUCUGACGCUGAGGC
rnacentral:rRNA from 2 species